AGCUUAUAAACAAAUUUUCAGUCUUAACACUGGAUUCUACACCGAUAUACAUGGCUUUAAAGUAUCUGUUUGGCUAAAAAAACUGACGAGUAUACAACUGCAUCUGACCAUCGGAGUGCUACACCGAUAAAUAGGAAGGCUAACUUCUGUCCCAAUGCUCUUUUUUGUGACGAAAAUCUAAUAACAGCGCUUUUUAAACUAUAUGAUUUCAUCGGCAUGGACAGGAUGAACCCGCAUCAGAAAAUCCCGGUGCAUCUUUUUCAUCCUCGUUCACCUCUUUGGCUCUCCCUUCACCACCGUUUCCUUCUAUUCUCUUGAGCUCAACUCCCACCUACAUGCUAAGAGUCACCACCACGAUGUAGGCUUCUAGGAUCUCCUUCCUACUCCUAGUAGUCGCCACCAGGAUGCGUCAGAAUUCAAGUGCAUGGAUCCCUAACUCCGGCAAAGGAACAUUCAUAUAAAAGUUUGAAUCAUCAUUUUUGUCAAGGGAUGUAAUAUAUUUUUGUAUUGUUAUUAUUUUUGCUAGACACAACCUCAGCCUAAGGUUGACAAAGGGAUAGAAAUAGAAAUACGUUCUCUCAAAAGGACAAUAUAGGGAUCUCACAAUUUCAAUAGAUGUUCCAACACCUUCUGCACGCCAGAAUUCUCCGCAUCCUUUACCCUUGACAUGUUAUCACUUAAAGUUACCCAAAUACCACCUUGGGUUUCUACCUGAACGGAGUAAACAAAUGUCCUAUCAUGUGCCGGGCCUUCUUCCUUCUCUAACCCGAAAAAAAGAAAACAAUGAAGCAACUGUGUAGGGCUGAUCUAGGCAAAAUGCCAAGUUAGAUAAUGCAACGAGUGGCAAGCAUUCAAAUCCCCAAUGUGUCACUAAACUUUGCUGGUCAUCUCAACUUAAAACCAUCAGUUAAAUUAAAAUAAUUCUCAAUCCACCACCCAAACAUAAUGGCAUUACAUGGCAUUACAAUCCAAAGCUAUACUUUUACUUCCACGUUGCACCUAGUGGUUUCUGAUGAAUUGAAUAUCACGAUGAAAGAUUGAUUGAACCAAUAUUCAUACCUUCUCUCCAUGGACAUAAAGAUCAUCAAACCAUGAUAUGCAUCAAAGACAAAAUAUGUUUGGAUAGAAGCAGUACAUGGAUGAUGACCACUGGUGUGACAGCGGCUGCAACUCAGCCCAGAUCUUAGUGAACAUGCAAGAAACCGGCGCGCCAGAUGCACCCUAUGGGCCAUAGGACGAGGCUGCAGACCGACCCUCCUGGUCAGAUCUAGCAGAGGGCGGCAACUAUAUGCGUGGGCAAGCACCUCCCAGCCCAAAGCACCGACGGACCAAGGUCGGAGGCCAUGACCGCAUCGCCCCCACGCGCCGACGAUGGGGGACAAUAGCUCCACUGCAGAGGCCAACAAACGAGGCCAUGGACUGGCCUUCUUGGACAGAUCCAGCGAUGUGCAUCACCUCCAUGCCUCGGCGGGCAUCUCACGUCCCAGCGCAACAACAGGCCGAGGCGGCAGCGAAGAACGUGUCGCCCGUGCGCGCAAUACUACGGGAGUUGCACGCUACCAUGCCCGAGUGGAACCCCACAGUUCUCGGAGCCACGUAGCUGACAACGCCAUGCGCGGAGGUACAGAGAGGAAGAGCAACGGUAGAGGGAGGGAGUAGCGCCCCGCCGCCGUCGUAAGCCGGCCUAUGGCCGGUGACAGCGGUGUGGGGAGGACACGAAGAGAGUAGCGGUGGCGAUGGGAAAACCUAACCCACAACCCACCCAAGAGGGUGAUGCGAGGUCCUCGCAAGGAAGAUGUGUGAGUGGGUGGGGACAGCGUGAAGUAGGCUAGGAGCGCAAAAACAGAUAUGGGAGCGAGAUAGGAGAUGAAUGUUACAGGAAGUAAGAGAGGAGAAAUGUGGGCAUGGGCUACUAGGAUGGAACACAAAAGCGAUGGAGGGAGUGGGACAAUGCCCGGAGUAACAGCGGUCGGCAGGAAAAAGAAUGGGAUAAAGCAAGGAUACAUGCCCAUCAAUUUUCUAAUUUUCUGAUUGGUUAAGAUAGUAGCUGACUGUAAGGUGGCUCAAUGCAUACAUACAAAUAAUCAUGUCAAGUAGCUGCCGAUUUAAUCAAAAUAACUUUGUGAAACACGGCGAUGGCGGAAACUAACAAAGUGCACAUUUUUUAUAAUUCAAGGUAGUGUUUUAGACGGUUUUGGAGUUCUAGGUUGAAAAGACAUGCUCAAACCAUAGUUUAAGGUUGAAAAGUGUACACUUUUUUCAUUUCAGAAAUGUCGCACUAACUAAGAUGCUAAAAUGUACAAAGAAUGCUGAACUGAUUUUAUGAGUUCCCAAGGACGGUAUAUAUAGUACAACCAUGAUUCAGACAAAAUAAAGAAAUCAUUCUGGUUUGAGUACUAAAUCAACAUGAAAGCUUCCCCAACAGCAUUAGCAUAUAGUUUUUUUAGUUUAUGGAGUAUGGCAUUACUCUUUGCAAUCUGAAGCUUGAAUUCCCAGCAAAUCAGGACUUAAGAGAAACAAAACAAGUUUAAUCUAAAUAGUUACUUUUGGUUUCCACUUUUAUACUUUUUAAACAUAUCUUAUUCAGAAAUUUCCUUUUUUUGAUAGAAAAGAUAUGACUGAACAAAUUUUGAAUUAAGAACUAUNNNNNNNNNNNNNNNNNNNNNNNNNNNNNNNNNNNNNNNNNNNNNNNNNNNNNNNNNNNNNNNNNNNNNNNNNNNNNNNNNNNNNNNNNNNNNNNNNNNNNNNNNNNNNNNNNNNNNNNNNNNNNNNNNNNNNNNNNNNNNNNNNNNNNNNNNNNNNNNNNNNNNNNNNNNNNNNNNNNNNNNNNNNNNNNNNNNNNNNNNNNNNNNNNNNNNNNNNNNNNNNNNNNNNNNNNNNNNNNNNNNNNNNNNNNNNNNNNNNNNNNNNNNNNNNNNNNNNNNNNNNNNNNNNNNNNNNNNNNNNNNNNNNNNNNNNNNNNNNNNNNNNNNNNNNNNNNNNNNNNNNNNNNNNNNNNNNNNNNNNNNNNNNNNNNNNNNNNNNNNNNNNNNAUCUGACUGAUGGUUUGGACAAGUAUGUUCCAGACCUAGUGACAGGUCUGGAACAUACUUGUCCAGACCAUCACUCAGAUCAGGUAUCUCUUUCCCACGAGUUCAUGCAGUAGGGUUUGGCAAUCAAACCAAACUAGUGGUUUCCAUACUGCAUCUGAGUGAUGGUUUCGACAAGUCUGUUCCAGACCUACCGAGGUCAAAGUACUAUUUACCUAGUAAGGUUAUUUAACAGAAAUGACCAAAGGUUACUACCCUAAGAUAAACGGGAACAAAGGUGAAACUACAAUAAAGAAACAAAAUAAAAUGUGCAGCGGUGAAACAGUUCUAAAAAUGUGUAGUGUAGGUGUGGGAAAGAGAUGCCUCAUCUGAGGAGCAUUGCAGGAAAAGUUCAACUAGUGAACAGGAUAUAUAACACUAAAAACUGAUAGUCAGGAAUCUUACUUAAAGAUGGGUUUUGGCCAAUGCUUCCUGCUGCACUGCUCAAUAAGCUUCUGCUUGCAUUCCCUAAGCUCUCCAACCUCAACCUCCGAUCCAUGCCCAACUCCAAUUGUCAACACUUGCUGAUUGCCUCCACCAAGAAGCUUGCUUAAUGCAUCCCGUGUGGCAUUGAGCUUAGCGAUUACCAUCUGCUCUGAGGAGCCCAUCCCAACAAGUGCCCCACCAACAAAUACAUUUACAACCGUUGUUCCACCCUUCUGCCAAGUCUUGAAUUUUAUAUCUUUCCCAUGUUUCUGGCACAGUUCAUGCAACGUAAACACGGGUUGCUCAUCAAUUGUUUCUGCCGUGACAAUGGGCUCAAAGAGGAACCUUGUUACCUACAUAAUACAUAGUGAUAUCAUUAUUCACCACCCAUUAUUCUAGUGAACUACUCUCCGUAAACAAAUAUGUCGUUUUAGAGAGCAGAGGUCCAUUUUUUUGAACUUUCACAAAUAUUAUUGGUAAAGCUAUCUUGGAUUGGUCAUACCAAAAUGAAAUCAUACGAUUCUUCAUAGAAAAUUACAUAGAUUUUUAUCAGCGUAUUAUGACUAGAAUUAGUAGUUAAGUUAUUUUCUGGAAACCUCAGAUCAACAUAUUAGUGAAUGGGAAAUAACAUGAAAGAUGGAUUACAAACCUUCCAGAGCUUCUCAAGAUUAAAGUUGCAAUCCACAUAGACAGCAGCAGCAAUGGCCUCGACUAUAUCAGCAAGCACCUUGGGAGCCUUAAAUACAGUGCCACCAUAGGGCGUAGUGCCAAGGUCAUCCCCUAACUCUUGUUUCACUGACUGGAUAAACUGGCCUACCUGCAUAGAAGUAUAGCCAGUAACAUAUCAAUGGUAGCCAAAAACAGUUCAUCUAAUAUCCACAUCUCCAAGAGAUAACAUCAAUCACUUCACAAUUCAAAUGUAUUAUGCCUUAUGAACCCGAAUGGAGCUGCGGGAGUACUUACCAAUUCCAGUUUCAGCAUUGCUAAAUACAGUACUAAACAUAUUCUUGCAUCACUAAAUCAAAACUAAGAUGUGGCGUGAGCUGCUAUAGAUAGAUGUUUAGCUCUAUGUUUUACCCUCAAAUUAAGCCCAUCAAACAGCUCAAAUGUAUUGCUUCUAACUCAGGGGAGGAGGAUCCGAGGACGCUUAAGCGGCACAUACCAAGAGAUCGAGGCGAGGGCAGUUGCGUCGGAGCAGCGGGUAGAGGUCGUGGCGCACGGCGACGCGCGCCAGCUUCUCGGUGGAGAUGUUGGCGGCCCGGAGCGUGGAGAGCGCGCCGGGGCCGACGGUGGGGUUGGUGAGGUAGAGGAAGUUGGAGAAGGCGAGGCCGAGCGCCGCGUCCCCGAUGAACUGGAGCCUCUGGUAGGAGGCAGCCCCGCCGCUGGAGAAGAACUGGUGGGUGAGCGCCUCCUCGAGCAGGGAGCGCUUGUUGAACUCGUACUGGAGAAGCCGCUCCACAAGGGCGGCCGCCUCCUCCCUGUCCGCCACGAAACCCGGGGGCGGCAGCGUGACGGGGGCCGACGGCGCAGGCGACGAGGCGAGGCGCUUGCGGGAGCCGGGCUUCAUCAUCCCUGGUGUGCCUGUGCGCGUGACCGUGUGGCUAGAUCGGGAGGGGGAGAUGAAAUUUUGGAGAGGAGGCGGCGCCAAAAGAAAAAAAACAGAGGAGCUCACCUUGCUAGACGAGAUGAUGGUGGCGUCGGCAGCUGCUACGAACUGGGAGGAGGGCGGGGGGACGGGGAUCCGGCCGGAGUUUGGCGGCGUCCGGCGGAGUAGAGUGCCGGCCGGGCCUGUUGCUGGUGCUGGAGACCGGGGUGGGGGCGGGGACGGGUCACGCCAACGGGAGGAGCAGCGGAGGAGGAGGGACCCUAGCCGCCCGCCAUGUCGCCGGAGGGAGCCGCGCACAAGGGACCGGCGGCGGCCUGGAGGAAACCUAGCGAGGUUUUCGCGUGAGCGAGCGGGAGGAAAGGGGAUCCAGGGCUGCGGGCGGGACUGGGCUCUUCGCCUUGCGGGUAUACCUGCCAGUGGCAUUUUUGUUGUAAUAUGCUCAAACAAUAGUGUCAUUUCCCUAUACCCCUUCGGGUUUAAGUGAGAAGCUGCGGGAAGCACCCAAGUGAGGUGGAAAUAAGUUGAGCUGACUUUUACAAAGGUGAGUGCUAGGCACCUGCGCACCGGCCCAAAUUUGGGCCGAUCGCAUAAUGCCACCCGCCUGAUUCAUGAAACCCUAGCCGUGUGAUUGCGUCUUCUUUCUCGUGCAUUAUCUCUUCUCCCUCCUUUCCACCCACAUCCAGAAAGAAAAAUGUCUCAUGCCCGCCACUGCACCAGUCGAUCCCCCCUCCCCCAUGUCUACCCUUCCGUGAAGGACCGUUCCUCGCUCGGCUCGCCGUCGACGUCCUCGCAACCCCGCCGUCGCAGUUGAAGCUGCAUCUCGUGGGCGUUUUGCGGCGUUGCUCCGUGGUCGCAGCCCCCCCCCUCCUUCGCCGUCGUUUGGUAGCAGCCUCGCCGUCAACAUGUCGUAGCCUCGCCGUCAUAGCCAUUUGCUGGCUCUAGGUUGAAGCUUUUUCCAUGGUCAAUUGAAGAUUUUUUUUCGUAGCUGCUUACAGCCUUUCCAUGGGGGUUGAAGCUUUUUCCGUCAUGCCUGAUGAAGCAUUUUUCUCCAUCGGUUGUAACUUAUACUAGGCCGGUUGAAGCUUUUCUCCAUGUACGGUUGUACCUCACCCUAGAUACUCAACGUAGCAAAACUAUCUGUUAGUUGUAGCAAAGAGGUGUGGCGGUUCCAGCAAAAAAGAAGCUGACCGGUGCCGUCCACCUAAUUAUAGUGUUUUUUUUUCGAGAGUACGCCAAUGGCGUACCAUAUUUUUAUAAAAGGCAGAAAAGAAUUACAAGAAGCUACAACUUGCUGCAAACAACAAGUGUAGAAACAACACCACAUCCAAGCUAAUCCGAAGAAAAGUUGCCGCACACAUUACAACACAGCACAAAGGAGCUUGUCGGACCAGAGCAUCGAAGCCGCGUCUCGACCAACGCCGGUCACUACGAAGAGCAACAACUUCGACCGGACUUCCCUUGUCGACGCACCAACCACCCUUGAUGCCGAAAAGGAGAUGACAGGUGGGUGGCGGGACUCAGUACGUCCCGAGAAAGCCACCGUCUUGGACUCACCGACAUUGGGGUACAUAGCGCCCAAGAUCCUCUACUCGGACUAGCGGCACGCACCGAAGAACCACAUCACCGAACCUCCAGGCCAACUCUCCUCCCACGAUGCUCCUAACGGAGGAACGACGCCAAGACGCCACCAUCGCCGGUCCAGGACCUAGGCUUUUGCCCGGAGACUACAAACCAAACAAGGAGGGGAGAUGCCGACACACACAGCGAUGCCUCCAAGGAGGGGAACGACGCCCACAGACACCGUCAUCGCCAUCACCGAUCGAAGACGGGCAGGAUUUUCAUCCGUCGCCCACCUCCCACCCCUUGCAAAGAAUGAGGCCAACAUGUCUGUAAUGGGCCACAUCGCCGCCGCAGCAGCACCUCGGCAUCGUGACUAAUGUUGCAGAACACCGACGCCUUGCACAGCCAAGGACACGCACUCCAUGAACCACCUCCCGCACGGCCGAUGAAGAUCCAAUCCAGCAAGGCAGCACCCAACACCAACACGGCCAGAGGCCAACGGAACUGCAGCAGCAACUGCACACGCCCACUCCUGGCGGCAGCCACGCCACGACCGCGUCUCUGGGACCCAUGAACAGAGAGCAUCUCCACCGAGCUCCCCGCAGAGGGCCGCAGGCCCGGGCAGUCUGCCCAGAUCCGACCUGCGCCGAGCUCUCCCUCCCACGGUGCCACCACUGGCGCCGGCGGCCGCAGGGGGCAAGCCGCGCGCCCUGUCCACCACAGCAGGUCCCGGCUGCCACUUGCGCAGCCAUCCGCCAGAGAUCUGCCGCCUCCAUGACUCGGGCGCGCCGCCUCCAACACCCACCAGACGCACCAAGGAGGACCGCCGUGCACCAACUCCACCCCACCACGCCGUCGGCCGUGCUCCGCCUCGCCGUGCGCUCCUCGCAGCCCACCACCGCACCGGUAAGAUCUGCCGUGCCGCCUGCUUAACGCCACUCCCCCGCGCGAGGGAGGCCCGUUGGGGCGCGCCGAACUCGCCCGCCGCCUUCGGCGGCCAGGCGCCGCCACCGCCGUCGGCGCCGGCGGCGGUAGCGGCCAGGGGAGCGCAAGGAAGGGGGCGCUCACGGGGCUAGGUUUUGGCCUCCGGAGCCGCCCGCGCGAGCGGCUCGGGAGGGAGGGAGGGGAAAGUUUGGGUUCUAUCGCAUACCUAAUUAUAGUGUUAAUGGCUAAUUUCUAUGCCUCCAGCAAAACCUGAUGCCGGAUGUAGCAAUUUGUGUCACUGGAUGCAGCCCCAGCGACCUGUUCCCCGCACAUAGUCUUAUCAACUUGUAUCUUUUUUGCCGCCGGUUCCAGCACACCAGAUAGCCGGUUCCAGCACGGGCGUACACUGAUCGUAGCACCGCGAUAUCGAGGUCGUAGCAGGGCGCGACGCCGGUCACAACACCGCUCACCAUGGUUGUAGCACACUCCAUGACGGUGACGAGGCCUUGGUUGUAGCAACAUCGAGGGGCUCGCCGACCAAGACAGAGAGGAAAUUGGUGGCGAGCGCGGCCAUGAAAUCGACGACCAAUGACGUGUCCUUGUAGCAGCCUCAUGUGGUUUUAUUGCAGGGGGUAGAAGCAAAAGCUCGCAGGAGGAGGCUCAUGGUGGUGCGCAAGGUAGAAGAAAAGAGAAGAGAAUGCGAUGUUUCUCGAUAUAAGAUUUUUGUGGCCACAAAACGGGUGGUGCAAAAAGAUAAGGAGUCGGCGCGUGGGUCAGGGCACGUGGCUGUGUGGUAUAGGUGCGCGAGCGAGCAGAGCCGGGGUGACCGGCGCAAGCUUCAGCCGGUCGUCCGGCCACCAUUGUUUCACUUUUACAAAACAAGUUCUUUUGCAUUUUUGACUUAUUUUGACAAUAAGCUACUAUAAGCUAGAAAAAGACUUGACCCUAAGAAACGGAAAGGAAUCUGAGAAAAACACGCACGCGGUAGCACUUGGAGGAGCGUCUCCACCAGCAAAAAGAAAACGGGAAUUUAACUGGCGACCGUUCACCAGGAGGCCAGUCCCGGUGAACGCAUUCUCUCCCGUCGAUUGGUGUGCACGAAUUUUGUCGGAGGAUCGGAGCCACAUCAGAUCUUUUUUAAAUUAAUUCGCUAUAAGAUGAAAGACAGCGAACACAUUGCCAUUGGAAACACUACUGCCCCCGCAGUGGCUAGUGACGCGCCCCUGAGACUUCGUAUUGCAUUCUAGUCUCUCCUUUUUUCGUUACAUGGCAAUUUAAAGAGGGCAAAAAAAAAGGCAAAUAUUAUGCACACAACGAAAAAUGACCAUCCUUUUUGAAAUAAAACAACAACAUAGAUAUAAAAUUGAAAUUUCAUAUACAUGCCAUGGGAAAUAAAAGAGUGAAGUGCAUUGUAGGUCCCUAAACUAUUUUAGGAGUAUCAUGUAGGUCCUCAAACUAUGAAAAUCGGCAUUCAGGUUCUUAAAGUGCAGUAAGUGUGUCAUUCAGGAUCAAAAUAUGUCCGACCACGCCUGACCGGCUAGCUGGCGCAGUUGACCCAUGACACGUCGGACAUGGGGCCCUACAAGGUAACGGCUGGUGAUGAAAAUAUGCAAAAAAAAUCAAUAAAUUCCAGGGAAUGAUAAAUGUACUUCACUCCAAAUAGAUUCAAAUUCAUGGUUUAAAAAAAUGUUUGCGAAUAUGGAAAAAAUGUUCACGACUUUAAGAAAUGUUCACGAACGAUAAAUUUGAAAAUGUAUUCGACCACAAAUAUUUGUGGUUCGUGAAGAAGUUGUGAACAUUUUUGAAACCAUGAACAUUUAUAUUAAUGAUUUUUUUUGUAAAUUCAUACACAUAUUUUAGAUUUCAUAAUUAUUUUCUUAACCCUAAACGUUUUUUUAAAAAUUCGUGAAUAUUUUUAGAAUUCACAACUUUCUAAAAAUCGCCAAUGUUUGAAAAAAAAUGAUCAUUUAUGAAUUUGUGCAAAAGCAAAUUCAAAUACAUCGUUCAUGAUUUUUUUUCCAUAUUCGCGAACAAUUUUUGGGGUUCGCGAACAUAUUUUCAAAUUUAUCGUUCACAAACAGUAUUGGUGGUUUGUGAACACAUUUUCUUUUCUUUUAAAAUUUAUCUUUCGCAGAUAUUUGUCUAAAGUCGCGAAUAGUUUUUUCCAUAUUCAUUGUACACGAACUUUUUUUCCAAUUCAUCACUCGUGAACAUUUUUUUAAGCCUUCGUUCUAAUUUUUAUUACUGAACUCAAUUGAAUUUGGAACAUUUAACUGAAGACCCUCACUUUUAUGUGUUUCUCAUAGUAAUUUGCAAAUUGAGAUAUUCGUAAGUUCAAAUAUAUAGUCAGAAAAAAGCAUGUAAACAUAGCGAGAUGAGUCCUCGAAAACACAGGUCAUGCAAAUGUGGUGCCUUUGUGUCAAAUGAAUAUCGUACAUUACCUAGUGGUAUAAUAAACUUUUAACUUAGGUCAUCAAAGCUAAAAAAAAGGAAAGAAAAGAAACAGGGGAUCUUGGCAGCCACACUCAACAAUCUAUUAUGCCUAUAACUGAAUGUUAAAAACAGUGCUCUUCCUGUAACUGAUCUUACGAGGCUAAUUCAAAUCACACAGCUUGUGAGCACAAGUCACUCUUUCUAUUCAGAGCAGCGAUGGGGCUCUUAUCUGUGAUCACACCAGUUGUGCAGAAUCAUUCAGAAAAACAGCACGACAGAAAUUUAUAAACGCAGACGAGAUAGGCAGUACUUAACUAGCAUGAAUAUUUCAAGGUGAGCGAAACAAUCCAAAGAUAAACUGGGUCUGUAUUUGUGUUGUCUCACAUCAACCAUAAAAUAAUUUUCGGGCUCUAUAGUAUUUUGUAUCACACACAUAUUUCUCUUAUCUGAUUCUCUCUUGAACAACAGUUUACAAACAGACAACAGGUAACAGUUUACAAACAAGACAACAGAUAACAGUUAUGUUCGGGAGCUUCCCCACAAGCACAAGAAAAACAGCCACUACCAUGUGAACAACAAUGGCAAAAUGACCAAGCGUAGCACCAUAGAUUCUGCAAGUAAUCCACGCUACUGAAAACAUACUCACUUUGACCUUUGAGGACCAUCGGAUCUGAACAAAAUCGACAAAAAAGGAAGGUCAGACAGUGGUGGGUUUUAAGCUCAAAUUGUACAUAUUGAAGAGCUUAUAAGAAAAAUGGGAAAAAACAUUGGUCUUAUAUUGCGUAAGAAAAACAAUAGUAGUAUCCAAAGGCAGAAGCCAGAAUAGCAUUUUGUCCAACUGGUAAUACACACAGAAUUUGGAAUAUGCAACUGGCCAACUGCAAACACUUUCUUUUAUGUGUUUAUCAUUAUAAUUAGUUGCAGUACUUGCAAGUCGGUAUAUAAAGCUAGACAGAGGCAUAAUAAACAAACUAUGUGUUGAAAAAUUGAUAGCUUUUUUUUAUAUAGUACUACAAACUUAUAAAGGCGUAACCAACAAACUAUGUGUGUCAUCUCUCAUCUGUUAUCCAACUGCCAGCACUGUAAAGACGUAGACAUGUUUUAAUUGUACACCUUAGCCAUUCAUUCCAUAUUGUAUGGCUGCGAUCACAACGUUUUCCUAUGUGUUUCCACUUUCCAUUACUAGCAGGAAAUACCAGGUAUAAGCGACGACUCCUUGAAAAGUUCCUUACUAGUUUUGGUGGAUGAAUGGAUUUUUAGAAAAAGGAACAAAUACACCUGACUACCUGAGCAACACCUCAGUAUUUUCCCAAUCCUUGUUCCUAUUGUCCUGCCUUAUCCCUCCCAUUCACUCUAUCUGCAUCGGCAUUCUAUUCUCGUCGCGGCUGGCCAUAAUUUGCUCCCUAAGCUACGCGUAUUGCUUCCAGUGUAUCUGGUAUCUGGUGCAGCAACAUGAAGGAGCACCAUACAUCAGGGAGAGCGUGAGAAGCAAGAAGCUUCGGUGUCACCCGGUGAGCAUGGAAAGCGAGAAGCUUUGGCGGUGGAGAGCAAGCACAGGAAGGAGCAGACAGAGAUUGAUCAGGAGCAAACGGGUGCAAGCGUGGCAGCAAGCAUGAAAAUAAUUUUUGGCUACAUGGAAUUAAGGAUGAGCAGCAUGCAGUUGGAAUAACCCUACUUUGUGAACCAAUAUUACUUAUUUUUAGCAAUGAAAUAUCCGUGUAUUGGGCCGGGCCUUCUAGGCCUGGAAACACACAGUAAGGCAUUUGAGAUCAGAACCAUCCAAAUGAAAUGAAAGGCUUGGAUGUUAUAGCGGCACGACUAUGCCUUUUCAAUUGUCUCCUCCAAAGGUGAGCUGGAUCUAUACAUGUAUUCAUGUUGAAAUGCCCUAACUAUAAAAACAAGUCCUCGCAAAUAAUUGCUGUGAUCUAAAAUUGAUGAGGCCUAAAAUAACAGGCACUACAUAAGCUAUGUCACAGUUAUUUUGCUAUGUCUCGUUAUCUCAAAAAGGUCAUUAGAACAAACAAGAAAAUGGAUCACAAUUACAUUCCCAAGCUUUGGUUAGCUCUCCAACAAGGAAGAAAAUAAUCACUACCAAAUUGUGUAAACAAGAAUGACCAAAAUACAACCUGCAUAGUGUGAAUCAACUGAACUAGCACACUAGUAGAAAACCACCCAUUAGUCCCGGUUCGUAAGGGCCUUUAGUCCCGGUUCAUGAACCGGGACUAAUGGGUCGUUACUAAUGCCACCACCCAUUAGUCCCGGUUCAAACACGAACCGGGACCAAUGUGGCUCCACGUGGCCCUGUGCACCGAGCCCAGUCAGAGGGCCUUUGGUCCCGGUUGGUGGCUCCAAUCGGGACCAAAAGUCAAUUUUUUUUUUUACAAAAGUGGCUGCUUUAGGGGUUUUGAGGGUUAUUUUUAGGUUGUUAUUAUAUCUAGCUAAUAGAAAUAAGUGUCCUCUCUUAUCUUCGUCUUUGGUUUAUCAACGCUGCUGCUAUGUUCAAUGCACCCGCAGAUAUGACAUGCUCAUGCAUGCUUUGCAUCAUACAUCAUCAUAUAUAUGUAUAUAAUAAUAAGUCCUACUAAUCAUGCAUCAUCAUACAACUUCUACUCGUUAUUAAUAAUAAGUCAUACGAUCAUCAUCCUCAUAUAUUGUCAUCAAACCCAACCCUACAUAAUUGUUCUUAGCACAUGAUCAUCAGUAUCAGGUAGGACCUAAACACCCUUAAGGUAAAAUAGCAUAAAACAAUAUAGACCCUGACUCUCCAUUAUGAAGAAUGGCGAUCAUCCUGUCUCCAAUUCUUGCCUUUCGCUGCUUAUUGCUUCCAAGAAGCUCCUUACGACUGUCCAUACAUUUUUUCCAUUCUUUGAUUGUUAUGUCUCCACUUCUUUUAGAAACCCGAUAUGGACAGUUGAGAUUCGUAGGACGACCUGGUCGUAUGUUCAAAACAUGAAGGCUACCACGCGUAUACAUCAGAUGAGGCACACAAUCAUUCGGGAUUAUCUGUUGAAAAACAUAAUAAUAACUUUGUAGUUAGCAAUGAUGUACUAGUUUUAGAAGUGUGCAAAAAGAUGCACGGAUGUUGUAAUAGUAAAAAAUAAUCUUACCAGGGUAUCUCCAUGGUAGUUACCGUAGUUCAACACGUGCACUAGUGGCACGUAUUGACCAUAAUGUUGAGGAGUUUGAUUGUAGAUAUUGUAAUUCUCAAAAUCAGUACAAAAUCCGACCAGAUGAUUUUUCUCCUGAUAAGUUAAUUCGGAGCCUUCGGUGUAGUACGUUCUGUCUACUAUCUUCCGCACAUUCUUUGAAGAAUGAAAAUAAGCUGUCAAUGGAGAUAAGUUGUCAACUAUAUAUUUUGAAAUAAACAAUAUAAAUUACUUAAUAACUAUGUUUAGCUCACAUGAGGGAAGAACUGGAGGUGUAUCCACAAAGACCCAAAUCGAAGGUGUCUCUUGCUCGAUUGUAGGAUCACCAAGAUCCAUGGUGACAAGCAUACCCUCAUCAAGACCAUACAUCUUGCAAAAUGCAUCCCAAUUUUUGCAACCAAAAUGGGUUACACUCUGAGCAUUGUACAGCUUUACUUGAAAAUCCACACCAUGUUCGGUACUUAGGAUAAUUUUUUUGGUUUCGAAAUUUUCAUGGUCUUCAAAAUCCAUCCUCUCCAAGACAUAGCGUCUUGCAAAGCAUGGGAUAAGCUAGUCGAAUUGGAAAAGAUGAAAAAUACACGUUAAAAUAGUUGAAGUCGUGCUUAAUUACGAAAAAAACUAUUGUCGUCGUUGCGUACCGUAUGAACAUCGCAAGUCUCCUCGAGUUUAAUGCUGAAGCGCCGAUCUUCGUCCAGCUCAAUGAAUCUGUCGCACAUACCUCGGUCGUCGUGGCACCAGUCGCACUCCCCCGGGCGAUUUUUCGUCGUCCGAUGAAUACGACAUUUCCGGCCUACGUUCAUAAUUCAAAUAUUAAACUAGAUCAUUAUUAUUAAUCACGGGUUGACUAUCGAUGAUCGAUGUACGUACGUAGCUCCUCUUUCAUUCCCGAAUGCAUUAUUAUACCAAAUUGUCUAGCACACGGGAAUGAAGGAGAACUUAUCCAAUAUGAGCAUUCAAUAAGCAAAACCAAAUCACAAAAUAAAGUAUAGUAUUCAAAUUAGCAUGCAUUCAAUAAUUAUAAGCAAAAGUACAUCAUCUCUUGGUGUCCGUACAUCAUCGAAUAUUAUCACUAAUACAACUAGAACCGUAGCGCCCGGCGGGUAUCGACGCGGGCGGUGGACACCCAAAGAUAAGGAACCAUCACAGGAUCAUAGCUCCAGUGAGAUCCCUGAAGAACCUGCCAGGUAUUGUCGAACCUCCCCUCCAAUGCAACCAUGUAGCGACGGACGUGCUCGUCCUCCUAGCUGACACGGUGACGUACCACCUCCGCGGUGUCCGAAUGCCUCACCACCGUCACUGGCCCACGCGACCGCCACCAAACAAGGAUCGGGUCAACAACGGACUGCCUCCUCACCAACCUACGUCCCCCGGAAGGUAGCACCUCCCAAUACCAACCCGACGGAGCCCAGUCCCGAACAUGGCCCUGAUCAAGCAGGCCUCCACCGCCGAGUCGACGACGACGAGGAUGCGGGAUAGGCAUCGCCGAUGUCGACGUGGGAACUACUUCUAUAUAUAGUUAAAUAAAAGUAGUCUUAUUAAUUAAAUCAACUAUCUAGUUCAACUACUAAACACUUACUAUAAAUAAAUAAGUAGUACUUACUAAAAACAAACUACUUCAUUAUAUAGUAAAAUAAAUUAGUUUAUUAAANNNNNNNNNNNNNNNNNNNNNNNNNNNNNNNNNNNNNNNNNNNNNNNNNNNNNNNNNNNNNNNNNNNNNNNNNNNNNNNNNNNNNNNNNNNNNNNNNNNNNNNNNNNNNNNNNNNNNNNNNNNNNNNNNNNNNNNNNNNNNNNNNNNNNNNNNNNNNNNNNNNNNNNNNNNNNNNNNNNNNNNNNNNNNNNNNNNNNNNNNNNNNNNNNNNNNNNNNNNNNNNNNNNNNNNNNNNNNNNNNNNNNNNNNNNNNNNNNNNNNNNNNNNNNNNNNNNNNNNNNNNNNNNNNNNNNNNNNNNNNNNNNNNNNNNNNNNNNNNNNNNNNNNNNNNNNNNNNNNNNNNNNNNNNNNNNNNNNNNNNNNNNNNNNNNNNNNNNNNNNNNNNNNNNNNNNNNNNNNNNNNNNNNNNNNNNNNNNNNNNNNNNNNNGGGGCGGGGCGGCGACGGCGAGGUAGCGGCAGGGGACGCGGCGACGGCGGAGGAGGAGAGGCCGGAGAGAUCGAAGACGGGAGAGGAGGACGGCGCGCUAAGUGUUGUAUAUAUAGCAACGGCAUUGGUCCCGGUUCGUGGCACAAACCGGGACCAAUGCCUCCUUUAGUCCCGGUUGGUGCCGCCAACCGGGACCAAAGGCCUCUUUUCAGCAGCCCAAAGGGCGGGAAACGAAGACUUUUGGUCCCGGUUUGGGGCUCCAACCGGGACCAAAGAACAGCAUUGGACCCGGUUGGUGCGCCCAACCGGGACCAACGAACAGCAUUGGUCCCGGUUGGAGGCAUGAACCGGUACCAAUGGACCCGUGUAAUUACUUUUUUAUUUUCUGCAGCUAUUUUUUUGUUGAUUCUUCCUGCAGCUGUUGUUUUAGUCCCACCUCGCCAAGCGAGAGGCACUCGCAGCUGUUUAUAAGCCCUGAGUGCAGAUACAAUGACGAAAAGGCUCAAUGCUCCUGCACGUUGGUUAGCUUCAAGCCUUGCGGAAUACGGUAGACUGCACAGAGCUAUGUGCAGUGCAGUUGACACUAUUCCAAAAGGCUUGAAGCAAAUUAACGAGCAUUGCGCCUCUUUUUUAUUUUUAAUGACUUAUUACAACUCAGAAAAAAAGAAAAAAAAAGUAGCAGAAAAGAAAAAAAUAUAUAAAAAACCACUCAGAAAUAAAUAGAAGAAAAAAUAUAACAGAAAAGAAAAAAUAUAUAGAAAACUACUAAGAAAUGAAUAGAAGCAAAAAAUAGUUGUGAUUAACUGUACUAAAAAAGGAGCAUAUAUGCUUAUUUUUAAUGGCUUAUUACAACUCAGAAAUAAAAAGAAAAAAAUAAUAUAGCAGANNNNNNNNNNNNNNNNNNNNNNNNNNNNNNNNNNNNNNNNNNNNNNNNNNNNNNNNNNNNNNNNNNNNNNNNNNNNNNNNNNNNNNNNNNNNNNNNNNNNNNNNNNNNNNNNNNNNNNNNNNNNNNNNNNNNNNNNNNNNNNNNNNNNNNNNNNNNNNNNNNNNNNNNNNNNNNNNNNNNNNNNNNNNNNNNNNNNNNNNNNNNNNNNNNNNNNNNNNNNNNNNNNNNNNNNNNNNNNNNNNNNNNNNNNNNNNNNNNNNNNNNNNNNNNNNNNNNNNNNNNGUAGCAUAUAUGCUUAUUUUUAAUGGCUUAUUACAACUCAGAAAUAAAAAGAAAAAAUAACAUAGCAGAAAAAGAAAAAAAAACUAUAUAAAAAACUACUCAGAAAUGAAUAGAAGCAAAAAAUAGUUGUGAUUAACUAUACUAAAAAAGGAGCAUAUAUGCUUAUUUUUAAUGGCUUAUUACAACUCAGAAAUAAAAAGAGAAAAAUAAAUAUAGCAGAAAAAGAAAAAAAACUACUCAGAAAUGAGUACAAAUGCGCUUAUAGAGGAAAUUCAACUUAAAUUCAUAACGAAUUUCAAGAGAAAUCCGUAUGAAUUUAUGCUAAAUUACCUAUAUAAGCGCAUCUAUUUUCAUUUUCGGAGGAGCUCAAUAAGGUAGAGAGGGAGGGGCUUAUAAACCGGUCUCGUUCCCCUUCGGUUGGCGAGGUGGGACUAAACUCUGGUCGCAACGGGUACCAACCAUUUAGUCCCGGUUGAAGGUUCGAACCGGGACUAAUGGAAGCCCAUUGGUCCCGGUUCAAGCCACCAACCGGGACCAAUGGUUUUGGGGCAGGAGCGAGGCCCAUUGGUCUCGGUUCGUCCUACCAACCGGGACCAAUAGUUUCAGACGAACCGGGACCAAUGGGCCACGUGGCCCGGCCGGCUCCCGGGGCUCACGAAUCGGGUCCGAUGCCCCCAUUGGUCCCGGUUCUGGAUUGAACCGGGACUAAUGGGCUGGAGCGGCCUGGACCAUUGGCCCCUUUUCUACUAGUGGCAGGUGCUUUCCUGAUUAGUAAACAAAAUGUAACUUAUUACCACACAAUGUGAAACGAAAGAAAUUAUGAGGAAAUAACCAAAAUAAAACUUGCAUCUCCUGUGGGAAAUAUUUGAUUGUACUUAAAGAAACAAGUGUCCUGCCCAACCAUAAGCUUGUCUGUUGGCUGGAUACUAGUUGUGGAUGAGAUAUUGGUUACACAAAUUAUCAUUUUUUUUAAAAUGUUGUAUUUAGUCAGCUGUGGAUGAAUUUGUAAAAAAUAAUUCGGUAGGAAAAUAUAGCUGUACUGGUAAUGUUGGGUAGGCAGGGCACUUGUUCUAUUUAACUGAAGAUAAAUUCCCGCAUUGACUAACUCAAUAGUCUAAACAGGAGUUCCUUGACUUAAACAAUUUCUUGUACACUUUCACAUUGGACUUUACAUGUUAGUUCAUAUAUAUAAGAAAUUUGACAUGAGCAUAAGCAAGAGGGCUGCACACUAAACCACUGAAUGAGAUGCCCCACAAAAAUGAAUUCCAUGUGACUUCAUUGCUUGAUUUUUUUUUUGUAAAAUGGAUUAUUUUCUUCUGCAUUUCAUAUAUGUAGAAGCAUUUAGAGUUUCAAAGCUAACUGUCUGAUAAUUCUCAGAGAGUAUGGAUGACUUUUAAAGCUGCUGUUAUUAUAUGUAGAAUUGAAUAAUUCAAGUUCCGGUUUAAUCUAUUUGUUGGCUUAAACAAUUUCUUGUAGGCUUUCACAAUGGGCUGGAUAUGUUAGUUCAUAAAGAUAAGAAGUUUGAAUGACCAUAAGCUAGCAAUGAGGCUGCACAGCAGAACAAAAAUGGACUCUGAGUAACUUUUUUUAUUUGUGCCUUUCAGAUAAACUGAAUUAUUUCUUCUUUGUUUCGUAGACGUGGCUUAGGCUGAUAUAAGAAUGUUUUAUCUCAUUGAUUGAAAUUUCACAAAUUGCAGCAUGCAUUAAUUCAUGAUUAAGACUUCGUGACAUCAUUGCAAGUACCAAAUAUGGAAAGCUAACAGAGGCUCUUGAUGAGUGACUGCCAAGACUUUGGGCGCAAAGGAAGACAUCGCUAGUAUCUUACCAAUUAUUAGUGCCGGCUGUUCGCCAGUUUGUUAUCCGGUGGAAGUGAAAAUGCUUGUGUUUGUCGGGGGACGCAAGAAUGGCUUGUUGUGUUCUCUACUGUCAGAGAAUGAACAUAUUUAUAGUAUUUGAAGAGAUGUCUUUUAUGAGUAGUCGUUCCUCUUGCCAAAAAACACAUGCUUAUUACUGAUAGGAUUCAGAACUGCCAUUUGUGAGCAUAACUUUUACGGAUUAUCAACUGCCAGCGAUUUGUUUCGGAGUGCCGCUUAAGCCCAUGUAUAAGUAAAUCGCCUUGGUUCACAUGUUAUGGGCCUAAUCAAAUUUUAUAUAGCCUCUGUUUACAUGUUUAUGGGCUCUUGUAUAAAAAGUUCCGUUGCGUAACUUAUUAAUGAUGAUGAUGUGGUUUAACAUGGAUUCAAAAUUAAGAGGCAGUUUUGGAAUAAAGUGGUAUUACAGGGGGGCUAGUAUAUAUAUACUAUUAAUCUAUUAUUACAGGCAGAAGCAUGAUACCAUUUGUCCCAUUGGUAAUAUUGAUCUCAACUGAAUUGUAUUGCAGCCUUGCAGGAAUCGCUAUAUUAUACCUAGUAUGCUAAGAAACUUCUAACUUAGGUCAGUUAAAAAAAACUUAUGUCCGAAGUUCAAAAAUCAAGGUGUCUUGGCAGCCACAAUCAACAAACUAUGUGUAUGUGUGCCCUCUACCAUGCUACAGAGUUUGAUGCUUAUAUUUUGCAGUCAUUGGGAGACUCAGAAAGCGGCAAGUAAUGUGUUCCAGCUAUCUUACAAGGAAAUAAGAGGAAGAAAAACUGGGCACACCCCACUUAUAACCGAUCUUAUGGGGCUGAUUCGAACCAAACAGUUUGUGAGAACAAGUUGUUCUUGCUACAUCAAAUUUCUUCCUCCUGAUAUAUUUGAAAGAUAAAAAGCCGACAAGAUGAGCAGUGCUUGAAUUGAAUGAAGAUUUUAGUGUGCUGGGUGAAAUACUCGAAGGGUAAACUGGAUCAAUUCUAGUAUUUCUUCUAAACAUUGAGUCCUUGAAAAGUGUCGUUCCUCGAAAGUAAUUGUUGUGACCUAGCAUUUUCAUGAUUUCAGGAGGCCUAAAAUAACAAUUUGUUUAAUGUCUAAAAUAGCAUUGGAUGCAUAAGCUAUGUGAAAGAUUCAUUUUUCUCCUCAGAUUCUCUCCAGAAGGCGAUUGGAACAAACAAAACAACAACCACAACUAUGAUCUUGUGCUUGAUAAGAUUCCCACAAGCAUAAAAAGAACGGCUAGUUGCAAUAAUGAAACAUUAAGCAUUAGACAAAGUUGUGUGCUAACUAUGAAGGGAAAGACAUAUAUAUAUAGCUAGGAUGCAAUAGAAAGUUUACCACUUCAUAUUGUCGGUGCAGACAAGGAUGGUGGGAAGUUGGUAUAUAUGUGUGUCCCGUUCCUGGCGAACUGGAAAGGUUUUGCAAGAACCCUUUCAAGAUGCAUCUGCUUGACAUCUAUUGAAAAAUAUUCCUCCUCUGGCACCCCCCAAAACUCUCCAAUCUUUGCUAGCAGCAAGUACCUCUCCGUUGCAGCUUUGAUAAGAUGCUGGUUCCGAGGAAGUGGGAUUGUCUUCUCCAAUUGCCACUGGCUAGAGCUAUCACUUUCGUUUCCCCUAAUGUAAUAACACAGAUCACCUCCGAUUUCGGGGAUAGCAAACAUACCCAGUCUGCCUUCUCCCGCCUCCACAAUGGCUACAACUUCCUCGUUCCAUUCUCCGGGUGGAAGGUCAACAAUGGAGAACUCCAUACUCCCGGUGUCAAGCAUGAGCAAAUCUUUCUUGAUGGUGUUGAGCUCCCAGUAGAAACAGCCAUAAGCAUAAUGGCGCCUAGAAAAGGUAUAGUCGACGAGUGAGAUCAUGGUGAACUCACCCGCAGUUUGCCAUCGUCCACUGCUUGAAGAGAAGACGAAGGCGGCCACCCUACUUAGGCAAUGUACCAUCCAGAUCACUCCGAAUGCCAUCGCCGCGUCCCCCUCCUCCUCCUCCUCCUCCUCCUCCUCCUCCUCCUCCUCCUCGUCGAGGGGAAGGAGGAAAGGAUGGCACCAGGGAUUGUACACCACGUCCGGGUCCGCCACCAGAGCGGCAAGCUCUUGAGGCACUGCGGGAAGCAGGAUGUAUCGCUGGUGCAACGGGUCACACACCGCGAGCUCUGUGAAUUUUAGACGACGAUCAUCGUUGGGGGAGUGGCGGAGGAGGACGCGGCCGUCGCGGAUGUCCUGAACGGCCCAACGGCAGGCCCGACGGCGGUGGGGGGAGGCGAGGAACCGCGGGGCCCGGCGGAGGCGGAGGCGGCCGUGCCGGAUGUCCUGAACGGACCAACAACCGGCCGAGCGGCCGGUCCGGCGACGAUGGGGUGAUGGGACGAAAGAGAAGGUGAAGUCAGCUUUUAGGGUGAGCCUGUAGGCGGCGGGCGCGGAGGGAUGGGGCGAGAGGGCUUCGUGGAACCGGCCGUGGGCGAAGAAGCCGAGGAAUGGCGGGGCGUGGAGGCGGCGGAAGCGGCGGAGGAAGGAUCUGUCGGCGACGAGGCGGCGGAAGGUAGCGCAGGUGGCGGAGGCGCGGGCGAGGUCUUCCGGUGCUGGCAGGCGGAGGAAGAUCUCGGCCUGGAGGAGGUGCUCGGGGAUAUCCAUCAGCUGCGUCGCCAUUUCUUGGCCGGCGAGCGAGGUGGGCGAGGGAGGGUGGUGAGGACUGAGGAGUAGGGAGUCAACGGCCGGUGAGGCGCGGAAGAUCCGGUGGUAAGAGAUCGGAGGAGCCGCCGCCGGGAACCCUCGACGGCGACGCGUUGGCAAGGGGAUGAGACUGAGAUCGAGUCGGCUGUGUUUGGAAUUUGGAUGCUUUGCCGCUGGAGUGAAGACACAAUUUGUCCGUCAGUUUCUUUUGGGGACAGCGAUUUCCUCGUGAGCUGUCGAAAUGGGCCUUGCCCACUUAGUCCAGGCCGGCCAUCUGCGUGGCCUCUUUGCAGGCCCGGCAUCUCACUUUCUUUUUGUGCUGUGUCUCAAAAAACGAAAAGUCUUCUUUUGUGUAGGGAAAGCUGUUGAAACCCUAAAAAAAAUUCCAACCUUGGGAAUAAAAUCUCAGCUUAAUUUACUGAAUAUGGGGACACAAAUCACAGUUAAUUUACUGCAUAAACUAAUGGAAGUUCCAUCGCAACUGGCUAUGGAUCACAAGUGAGAGUUCAAUGUGAUGAUGGAAGCGACAAUCAUGCCUUUCUAUGAUGUCUUCCAGCUUUGCCACCAAACAUUGCAGUACUUGAGGAGUUAAACAUAUCACUCCGCUCGGGGCGACAUGGGAGCCGACACAACCCUAGCCACGGAGCUCCCUUCCCCCGCCCUUCCUCCUCGUCACUCCCAGAGGGGCCGCCAGCGAAGACCGAGCGACCGCUAAGGAUGGCGGCGACGAGGUCUGGCUACUUCAUCUUCGUGUCGAGGGCUACAGAUUCUGAGGCGACGGCCUCGGGUAGUGCAGGGACGUCGGUUCUAUGGCGAGCGGCACUCACGGGUGCUCCUAUUCCUUGGUCAUGUCGGCGGCGAGUGGCAGCGCUCAUUGAUCAUGAUAGGUGCCCUGGUAUCCUUGGGUGCGCCAAAUCGGAAGGUCGCCUUCUGCACUCCCAACGCCCAACUCCUCGCCGGAUCUGGUCCUCGAUGGCCAUCGAUCGCAGGAUGCACUGAUGGUAGGGAUGCUGGAGGUGCGGACUCUAACCAAGAGAAAUCUUUGGCUAGCUAUCUAGUCAUGACGGUGACGACACCUGCGGUGUCAUCCCCCUUCUAUGAAGAGCCGUAGAGGUUUGACCCCGUUCCCUCCCACGUGCAUACUCGGUGAAAACCCUAGUUUGAUACGUACUAGGUGGCCCCGGCGUGGCAUGCGUCAUCAUUUCCUUGAAGGUGACGUCGUGUGUGAGUUGGGGUGUGUGUUGGCUUUGUGGUGUGAUUGUCUGGCGUACAACAGAAUCGCAAUUGACGGUGGCGCCGAGGUGCUCUAUGUCGCUAGAUCAGUAGUCUUUCAUGGCUCCUUGUGGUUGUUAGAAGCCCGGUCUGUGUGUGUUUGCUUCUUGGUUGGUCGGCGCCAUCGCCUUGGACGGUAAGGGGGUAUGGUUCCGCUGGCUCGUUAGCAACAAGGUGUGGGAGCUUGGACAUGGUGCCAAUAACUACGGGCUCUGAUAUUCUCUCAGCACUGGUUGUUUCAACUCCUCUGAUGUAUGUUUCUUCAGCGAGCUCACCCAAUAGCAGCUUUGUUUCUUAGUCGGUAGAUGAAUGAGCUUUGUCGUGGCAUUGGUCGAUGAUCUUUACACAGUGGGUUUAUCAGGCUGAGAAUUUCUCAUGGGGCUCCAAAAUCAUUAUCGAUCUUUGAUCUAGAGUGAGCUUCUCCAGCUUUCGAUGGUCUGACAUCGUUCAACCCAAAGCAAGGGGCAAGGGUCCCCUUUAGAAUUGGAGAAGGUAGGUAGUAUGGUGACGAUGUUCACCUUUAGGGGUAGAUAAGGGCGCGUCCAUCAUCGUUGGGUGGUCUCUCCACCUAAAGUGUGCUCGCGUCAAUGCGCUAGAAGCACGUCAAUGGGCUCCAUCAACAUCAAGCUAGCUUCUCAGUUGUUUAUAUCAUGUGUGCUUGUUGUUUUCGUGUAUGCAUGAUGUUUUGGCAUCAUCUUGUAUCUGCUGUUUUCGUUAUCAUUGUUUUCUCUUUUUUUUGUUAUGAAACAAUAUGACGUAGUAAUUCCUAGCUGGUUGAUGGCUUUGUUAAUUCAAAGUCAGGCUCAUCUUGAAGCCUUGUUCUAAAAAAAUGUAGUAUUAAGAGGCAAUCUUAGCUCUAAGCCAGGCCCCAUAUCCGGGUAAAAAAAUCAGCAUGAUUUCUCUAUCAUUGUCAUGAGCUGUCUAAAACAGAGAAGAAGAAAACUGGGUGCCCUGCCUAUAACUGAAAUUAUGAGGCUGGUUUAAAUCACACACCUUGUCAGCACAAAUCACUCUUUCCAUUCAGAGCAGUGAGAGAUUCAUUUCAAAACAGCGACACAACUUGAAUUUAUAGAUGCAGGCAAGAUAAACUGUACUUCACUAGAACCAUAAAAGAUUGCUGGGUUUACAGUGUUUUGUACCACACCCAUUAUUUCUCUUGUCUGAUUCUCUCUUGAACAACAGUUUCAACAAAACAACAUAACAGGUAACCAGUUAUAUUCCGGAGCUUCAUAAGUUUCCCACAAGCACAAGAAAAACCAACCACUACUAAGCCAUGUGAACAAGAAUGGCAGAUGACUAGUACUCCCUCUGUAAACUAAUAUAAGAGCAUUUAGAUUAUUACUUUAGUGAUCUAAAUGCUCUUAUAUUAGUUUACGAAGGGAGUACUACCAAGUGUAGCACCGCACAGAUUCUCAUCUUGUAGGCAACGUGACCACCUGGCUUCUGGGAGAAAUCCACGCUACUGAAAUACUUCACUUUGAGCUCCGAGAACAUGAAUGUUGAUCUGACUAUAUUGGCUACAUUAGAUCUGAACAAAACCGACCACAAACGUCAUGUGCUCAUCAUUAAUUCUGCAAUACUUGUAAACUGGAAUAUAUAUUCUUACAAAAAUGGAACAUAUAGCUAGACAAAGGCAUGUAUAUACAUAAAAAAAUGAGCCCUGGACAUCCCAAGCAAUGCAAAAUUUAUCAUAUUAAUUACUAAAACAAGAGGCAAAGAAGCCACUACAAUCAUCCACAAAAGCUAAACUAUUCAGAUUUAAAAUAAAAUAUAAAGAACAUCAGUUAGCUGCAAUCCGGGUUGUGCAUAUGAUGGCUUCACCCAUGAUGUCAGCAACAACAACAACAACAACAACAACAACAACAACAACAACAACAACAACAACAACAACAACAACAACAACAACAACAACAACAACAACAACAACAACAACAACAACAACAACAACAACAAAGCCUUUAGUCCCAAACAAGUUGUGGUAGGCUAGAGGUGAAAUCCAUAAGAUCUCGCAACCAACUCAUGGCUCUGGCACAUGGAUAGCAAGCUUCCACGCACCCCCGUCCAUAGCUAGCUCUUUGGUGAUACUCCGAUCCUUCAGGUCUCUCUUAACGGACUCCUCCCAUGUCAAAUUCGGUCUACCCCGCCCUCUCUUGUCAUUCUCUGCACUCUUUAGCCGUCUGCUAUGCAGUGGAGCUUCUGGAGGCCUGCGCUGAAUAUGCACAAACCAUCUCAGACGAUGUUGGACAAGCUUCUCAUCAAUUGGUGCUACCCCAACUCUAUCUCGUAUAUCAUCAUUCCGGACUCGAUCCUUCCUCGUGUGGCCACACAUCCAUCUCAACAUACGCAUCUCCGCCACACCUAACUGUUGAACAUGUCGCCUUUUAGUCGGCCAACACUCAGCGCCAUACAACAUUGUGGGUCGAAUCACCGUCCUGUAGAACUUGCCUUUUAGCUUUUGUGGCACUCUCUUGUCACAGAGAAUGCCAGAAGCUUGGCGCCAAUUCAUCCAUCCGGCUUUGAUUCGAUGGUUCGCAUCUUCAUCAAUACCCCCGUCCUCCUGCAGCAUUGACCCCAAAUACCGAAAGGUGUCCUUUUGAGGUACCACCAGGCCAUCAAGGCUAACCUCCUCCUCACACCUAGUAGUACUGAAACCACACAUCAUGUACUCGGUUUUAGUUCUACUAAGCUUAAACCCUUUCGAUUCCAAGGUUUGUCGCCAUAACUCUAACUUCCAAUUUACCCCCCUCCGACUAUCGUCAACUAGCACCACAUCAUCCGCAAAGAGCAUACGCCAUGGGAUAUCUCCUUGUAUAUUGUGACCUCAUCUAUCACCAAUGCAAAAAGAUAAGGGCUCAAAGCUGACCCCUGAUGCAGUCCUAUCUUGAUCGGGAAGUCAUCAGUGUCGACAUCACUUGUUCGAACACUUGUCACAAUCUUAUCGUACAUGUCCUUGAUGAGGGUAAUGUACUUUGCUGGGACUUUGUGUUUCUCCAAGGCCCACCACAUGACAUUCCGCGGUAUCUUAUCAUAGGCCUUCUCCAAGUCAAUGAACACCAUAUGCAAGUCCUUCUUUUGCCCCCUAUAUCUCUCUAUAAGUUGUUGUACCAAGAAAAUGGCUUCCAUGGUCGACCUCCCAGGCAUGAAACCAAACUGAUUUUUGGUCACGCUUGUCAUUCUUCUUAAGCGGUGCUCAAUGACUCUCUCCCAUAGCUUAAUUGUAUGGCUUAUCAGCAAAGCAAAAUAUUCAUGUUUUAAUUGUUUGCUUCAUGGUUUCUCAUCUAGAGUUGGACAAAGCCAUAUACCCGUUUCGAUUGGCUCAAUAAGCCUGACGUGAUGGUGAACUUCAAUAAAACGAAAGACAAAGGAGGCAUCAUGUUCUUCCACAACGAUAAAAAUUUCUAAUCCUUAUAUAUGCGUACAUAGAAUUGGGCGACGAAUGAGAGGAUCAAACCAAUGUGCUAUGCGCGCACGCAACAAGCAUGAAACAACGAAGGGAACUGAACAAUUUGUUGGUGCAAAAGUAAAGUUUGGAAGCAACAAAUCAUAUAUAAGUGUAACAAGUCAUUUCAAAUUUGUAGAAGAAAAUAUGCACAAUAUUAAGAGCAUGCUUUGACAAGAGUGGGUGAGAAUGUUGUAUCAGUGUACUUGGUCUUAAUUAGAUAACCAAGGGACAAAUACAAUUAAAGUAUGAUAGGCAUGGGUGUAAGCAAUCAUAUCUAGUCAUGACAUUGUAUACAAAUAAAAAGAAUAUAACUGCAAUAUAGCAAACAAUUAGGUCGGUGGAAGAAGGGACGGAAAAGCAAUUCGGCUCCCGGGUCCAGAUGCUCCUGCUAUCUGGACCGCACCUCUUCUUUGCGAUUUCCGCACAGGCCUAUAUUCACUGUCGUAUUAUGAUUAAAUAGUACUAGGCCUGGCCCACCUAUCAGACAUACAGACUGGAAGCGGCUCCGUAACACCGCUAUAGUACAGAUCGGCUGAGACGGAGGUGGACCAACAGCCGCCGUCAUCCCCUAGUAGAUAUUUAUGGCCGGAUCCCCCACCCCCAACCUACCCAUCGUCUUCCUCGGUUCAUCCACCAGUGCCUCACUUUCCUCUCCCCUCUCCCUCGGCAUGGCAAUGGAGUCUUUGUCCUCCGCCACCAAGCGUAGGCCGACACCGGCACCCCUUCCGCUCAUCCCCUGCCCAUUUUGCGGCGCACAAGCCCUCACCUUCGUCUGUGGCCCUCAUGGAUCUAAGCCAUCCCCAUCCCACCGUCGCCGCUCUUCUGGACUAGGCCAUUGUUGCUGAUUCUUCCAGCGGCUGAGCUAUCCAUAUGCGAACCACCAUUUUUCUAGCCCCAAUUGAGUAGCUAUAUCUCGAUGCACCAGUCUUACUCACCCACAUCUAUCUGUUCAUCUCAUUCCCAGAGAACCAUGUCCGACUACACUAGCCGUGACGAUAUUAGCGAUAGGCAGAUCACCCCACCAGAUCCAGCACGGCUGCUGGCACAGCUAGUCGCUCAGAUGGUCUCCCCCCAAAUACAACAUCCAGAAGCUCUGUCAGGCAUGUUGUGACUUUAAUGAAUGGGUUUAGUGAGUACAAACGCCACAGACACUAACAUUUUGGUCGCUGACGCCCUUAGAGUGCACCCUCCGGCGAUUUCCUUCUUCAGGGCGCUGGAGGCUGGAGAGGCCGCAUCUUGGAAUGCACUUGUGGCUGAGCUCGAGGGGAGGAUCCUCAGCCAGGAAAAUGACACGGUCGCGUGGAGGCUAACUGCUUCUCAGAAAUUCUCGGUGAAAUCCUUAUACGAGAAGCUGAUGGAGGGGAAUGAGCUAGACAUGGCUAGGGGGCUUUGGAAGGCUGGCAUUCCCCUCAAGAUCAAGAUCUUUGUGUGGAAAAUGUUCCGUAAUCGCCUUCCAACCUCGGAUAAUGUGGCUAAGCGUAACGGGCCGGCGAACGGGACAUGCGCCAUUUGUGGCCUCGGGGAGGACGCUAACCAUGUCUUCUUCGGGUGCUGUCUUGCUAGAUUUGCGUGGAGCGCGGUUAGAGAUACCUUUAAACAGAAUUGGAACCCGCAAACAAGCGUCGAUCUACUCAACUUGCUUUCGGCAUAGAGGGGUGCUAAUGCAAGGUUGGUGUGGCGUAGCGUAGGGGCGAUGCUUUGGUCAAUCUGGAGCGUGAGGAACAAAAUUACCAUAGAACACAAGUUCCCUGCUCACCCAGCUGAGAUUCUUUUCAAAUGUCACAUUUUCUUACAGGCUUGGGCGCCAUUGGGGAAGCAGCGUGACGAGGGACGCAUGACCGAGAUCAUGGAGCAGAUCAAGCUGUGCAUGGCGAAAUCAAGACUGCAAGGACAGCACGCUUGAGCCUUUUGCGUUUAGUUAUGCUUUGCCGCGACCUAUGUCAUUGCCUAUCUAUCAAGUUUGUACUCUUAUCUUUGCCUCGACGUUGAGCCCGCUGAACUUUUGUCGUUCUGAUAUGUAAGGAUGGAACCUUUCGUGGAUGUUGCCUUGGGGCUUUAUUAAUUUAUAAAGCCGGACGCUCCGUGCGUCUUUGUUCCAAAAAAAAGUACAAAUGCUGGUUAGUGAAAGAAAUAGGUUUUGGUGGGAUGCUUGAACUCCCAAUGAUCCAGAAAUUAAAUCUCAGGCUGAGCUCCUGGUGCAUGAGUAAGGUAGAUGUUCGUCGCAGAGCAGUAGUCAUCAACAGCAAAAAAAUACUACAUUUUCAGUGCUGCAGAUGUGGCCAUGGUGUUCGGCAUACGGUCUGGCAACAGAGAUGUGCUCGGUCCGGAUGGUAACAUCAAUGAUGCGGCAAGCGCGGCGGUCCUUUCUAUGUGAAGAGAAUGCACAAGCAACCCGCCAUGUCACCACUGCACGCCAUAACAUACACACCGACAUGAUCAACUUCACAGACAAGCUGAUGGCAACACUUUGCAAGUUUGCAUCCAAUUGCACAUGCUGUGUUGCGAGGGGUUACUCUGAUUGUCCCCUGAAAAUGAUAGAUGACAACGCAACAUCUACCGAACCUCAGGAGCUAGAGGACCCAGCUAAUCUACCCAGUUCUACUCUACAAGCCAUUGUACCGAACCCCAGUUUCCAGCAAAAUCCAUGGCGUGAGGCUUGAAAUUGUCUGAUUGUGAAAGUAACAUUUUUUUGUCAGAUCAUAUCUUCAUGGCCAUCAUCUACUUUCUGUUGGAAUUAACCACGCUGUCCAGUCUGGCUCGGACUUGAACUGUCACCACGUAGCCGUGUAGGUAUAGGAUUAGUAGUAACCUAGGUUAGCUACUAUAUAUAUGUACAGGUACCCUGUAAUCGAUAACCCAGAUUUAAGAAAUAAAGUAUUAGGUGCGACACGCACCUAUUGCUAUCCAUCAGCGUCCAAGUGUUUUCGCGUGCGUGUAGUUUCGCCGAGUUGUGCUAAUCCCGUCUGUUAAGCUAGCUAGCUAGGCUCUGCCAAAUCCAUCCAGCAGCUAGCUAGGCUGCUUCGUUUGGUACGUGUUCCUCUUGCUGUUUGCGUCUAUGUACGGCGAGUCUCCGCUCAACCGGCCGGAAAGUUAUCGGCCGCGGUAGUUUGUACGCGCACGUCGUCGGAAAGUACUCGACGGUUGCGUCGUCAAGGUUGGGACUGUGCCAACACUUUCCCUAAACUAUUAAUCAUUUUACUUUCUCUCACUUUCCAUAUUAAUGAUGUGCAGGAGAGUGCUCUUCUAAUAAAGAUAGACCGGAUAAAUGGAUGAGGCAAUCCGGCUCCACUUCCCGCCCUCAGCAAAUCAAGGCCUCCAAAAGCCCUAGCAAGGAAUCUGUAAGUGAUGCUCGGACAACUGAAUCAAUUUGCUCUGCUGUCCAGCACUAUGCAUGGUGCAUAUCAGUUUCAGUUAAGGAUAUGUACGCCGACUGCCAGAAGGGUGAUCCUUCGACAGUAAUUUUUGUUGUCAACCGCGUCAACAUACCGAAGUAUGUAUCAUCAAGGAGUUAUGCCACCAACCCAUGGUUCGCAGGCCGGCCAGUCGUUCCAACAUCAACUACUACCGUUGAACUUCUUGAUUCCCACUUCCAAUCGCUGUCUGCACAGCACCUUGCCAGGUUUGCAUAUAUUAUCAUUCUCCACCAUUUAAUUAAAUCGCGUGCCGCACUGCAUCACCAUAAGAAAGAGAAAUGUCUAACAGCUCCCGGGUGCCCCUACACCCUCAUGAACAGUAAAUUCAUAUAAAAUUGAAAAAAAUCAAAAAAAUCUGAAACUUUCAGGGAUCAAGGAUUAUCAAAGGUUUGAUGUUCGUGCAAAGUUUCAGCAACAAAUAACCUUCAUGGAGCCCUCACCAAAAAAAUCACUGCUAAAAAUGUACAUAAACUUUGAUUUUUUUUAUUUGAGUGCUCUUCGAAUGUUAUUUUUAGCUAAAACUUUGCAAGAUCAUCAAAAGUUUCAUGAUGUUCGAUGUCCCAAAGUUUCAGAUUUUUUUAUUUCAUUUGAAUUUGUUUUGAAUUUACUGUUCAUAGAGGGUGUAGGGGCACCCGGGUGCUGAAAAUCAUAUCUCCCAUAAGAAAUUUACUGGUUAUGACAUUUUUUUUCCAAUAACUCGAUAGUACACAAUGCGCCAUGGUUUGUACGAGUUAGCGGGAAGGACAUCAUGGAUCAGCUAGUCGGCAAUGCCAUGCUCGAUCAUGAACUAGGGUGUAUCAUUUUACGACGGCAGAACCAGGUUGAUCAGGAGUCAAACCACGCUUUACCAUAUCUGAAUCACCGUCACAUACUAGAGUGUGAUUUCUUCUCAGCACCUAAUCAAACCCAAACCAGUCAUCUAUAUAAUCAAUUUGGACCAGUUACCUAAUUCUAAAACUCCUCCCUCUUAAUUUUUUUCAGACGCUCGCUCUUUAAGGCACAAGUAUUUCUGAUUUUCUAGAGAUUCAGAAUCAAUUCAUUGGGCAAACGGUCCAGCAUGCAAUUGAGGCGUGCCAACUGGUAAUAAUUAUCCCUUCGUCAUCUUGCUCGCACUCUCCCAGUUUUUAUGUGUGGCUGAAACACAGCUUUUUGAUAGCUUGUCAUCUUACUCCAUUGUAGUUCUACAUCCCAGCAUGACGGAUGGGCCCUGUACAUUUGGGACAAUGGUAGGGAAAACGCAACGGAUGGGCCCUUGUACAAUUGGGACAUGCUUACAAGGGUUAUACAGGUAUAUGACCCUCGUCCGGGCCAAAUGGAUGCAACCAGGAUGAGCAGGCUACACACGAGCUUAUCGCGUCUCGCCUCCACGAUGCAUUGUUCGGGUGCCUAAACGACUUACAUGCUGGGUGGCCAACACCCAAGGAUAACUGGUCCACUGUUUUCCCCCGUUUCAUGGAUACCUCAAUCACCAGGUUUGUAAUUUUUUUCCCUACCAUUUUAAGCCUGUUUCUUAAUUGUUCAACUUACCCCUAUCAUGUUCAUGAUCAACACGGUGACUCGUACUAAUUACGAUAAUAAUUUUUUCAGAGGAAACAGGUAUUUGUGUUAUGCACAUCACCAGGCACCAUGAUGGUGAGAAGCUACGAAUGCCUAUCACCAAGGUAAUAGGAAUUUGAACAGACUAAACCAUUUAUUCGCCCUCAAAUACUCUUGGAAAAACACAUUCCUCACAAUGUCAAUCAUCACAUUUUCUCAGAUUAACUUGGCGAAAACUAAGAAAUCCAUUCUGCAAGACGUGAUGAAGCUUCAGGCCGACAGUUCUUUGCCAGCCGAUGCAAUAUGGUCAGUUCAUGCUCCUAGCGAUGGUUUUGAAGACAUCCUCUGAAUGCAUGCCAUUUUACGUGUCAGGCACAACACGCUUCAUGUCUUUCUCCAUAUGAGAUGAUUUUUGCAACCCACCCAGCUAUGUUGUACCUUCAAACAGAGUAGUACUUAUUAUCGUACAAGUCCCAGUACCAGGGCACAACCCAAGCAGACAAGAUCUUUGUAGUGGAUAUGUUUUUUGGUUGCUAUCAUCCUUCAUCACCACUCGGUUUAACCAUUUUUGGGGAACUUAUCAUCAUAUGAGCGUACAUACACACGUCCUUGUUGCUGAGAAAAAAAAUAUCCCAGUCGCUGUCAGACGAAACCAAGCAGGAGAACCACCCUCAGGGCAUCUCCAGCCGCGCCCCCAAGAAGGCCUCCCCAGGCGAUUUUUUCGCGCCGGCGCCGAAAAAACGGCCUAGUCGCGCCCCCAGGACGCCGAAAAUCGCCGGCUUGGGCCGAAAACAGCGCCGGCAGACCCAGCCCGAACCCGGCGCGCUGGAGGGCGCCCGGGGGCACCGGGACGAGUUGUUUUGGCGUGAAGAAACCGCGGGCCAGCCGCGUCAGCGACUCGGCGCCUCGUCUCCCCCCAACGGCCUCGGUUUCCGCGGGGAAUCAAUGGCAAGGCUGCCGCCGGUCAGCCUUGCCAUUGAUUCCUUCACGGGCGGCGCUUCACGGGGCGGCGCCAACGCCUCCCCUCCCUCGCACGCGCACACAUGGGCACGGCCAGGCUAUAAAAGCCGGCGGCCUCCACUCCACUCUCCUGUGCCCACACCGGCCCCGCCCGCCCCUUGCCGCCGUCCAGCCCCUCCCUCUCACUGCCUCUCCCGCGCGCCGUCGCCGUCGCCAUGGCAGAAGGUUUCCCCGGGGACGAGGCGGCGGCCAAUGGCUUCGGCCGCCGUUCGCUCCGCGUUCUGGAGUCCUGGCUCCUGUUCAGGCGAACAUCCCGGCGCCGCCGGACAUGCGCGCCGGGCCGUCGGGGUGGAGGCUCAGCGCCGGGGGAGUGCCCAUUCCCCCGUUGCCCAACGCCGCGGCAAAGCCGGAGUACUUCGCCGAGGAGGUCGAGAUCGUCCGCGCGUCCCUCACCGACGCCCAACGCUCCCUCCACCAGUACGCCGCCGACAACCACGCGGCCUGGGCGGCGUAUUUCGAGCGCCGCCAGCAGCAGCGUUUGGCGUCCACCAACGGCGCGCCGGUGGUUGGCGGGCGGCAGAACAGCGAGGGGCGCCACCUCUGGUGGGGCGUCCCCGGCCACACACUCGAGGGCGUACUCAUGCACCUCGAGGGCGGCAACGACCCGCCAUUGGCAUACCCCCCGGCGACGCACCGGCGCGUCGGGAUAUGGGCGCCAAGGCGGUUCGGGUCUUCCUCCUCCUCUUCCUCCUCCCGAUCCUCCUCGCACUCCUCCGGCACUCCGGCCCUGCUCGCCGUCAAGGCCGAGCCUGCGGCGGAGUCGCCGCUCGGUCGGCGCACUCGCAGCGCCGGCAUCGUCAUCAACGAGGGCGGCCGGCGCGCUUCCUCCUCGGCUCCUUCGCGCUUCGUCAAGCCGAAGACGGAGCCGGGGCUGGCGCCGGUGAAGACGGAGCCGGGUCUGGCACUGGUGAAGGCGGAGCUCAUCGACGACGACGCGGCCCUAGAAUGGGCGCGCCAGGACUCCAUUGCGAUGGAGAAGGCGCGCCGGGAGAAGGCGAAGGAGCGCCAGCGCGCCGCCCUGCGCCGCUUCGAGGAGCGCCGACGCGGCCGCGACGAAGACGGAGUCGUCGUCCUAUGCGACAGCGACGACGACGACGACGCGCCGCCGCCAGUCCACCAUGGCGACGUCGGGUCCAGCCGGGGCAUCCGCGUCAAGGAGGAGAAGGCCGACGACGACGAUGGUGGCGACGGCGGCGACGACUUCAGCCCCUUUCUUUUUUAGAUUAGCUUAAUAAUGUAAUGAAAAUGGACGAAUUUGGACGAAAUUCGCCAUGUUCAAACGAAAUUUAACUACUCUUUGUCAUAACUUCGCCGAACGGGCCCCUCUUUUUUUUUACACUCGCCUGUGGGCGGCCCUGGGGGCCGACGGCUGGGCGACGACUCGCCCCAGGGCCUUUUUUUUCGCCGGCUCACCCCCAGGCGGCGCUUUUAGACGCCCCCUGGGGGGCCAACGGCUGGAGAUGCCCUCACCCGCCUGACCCGGCCUUGAAUUUUUUUUCACCAUACAAGUGGGCAAGGCAAACGGCUGGCGGCGUCAAAAGCAAACACCUGUACCAGGCGUGCAGAGUACAUGUGCGUCCCGGUCGUUAUCCAGGAGACGUCCGUCAACUGCUGCAACGCCCGCGUCCGUACGUACAGCAGCCAGGCCUCCGUAUUUUCCAUUUUAGAUUCCUGUAUUGCUGUGACAGUGACGUCUGGCACAGAUCACGACACAUCUAGGAGUGGCAGAGAUUUCGGGUCCAUCUGGACCCGAGAGCCAAAACUCCACUCCCGAAGAAGGGAACACAAAGUUUGUAGAUACAAUACAUGUUUCGAUUUAUAUUGAUGAAACUUUUCCAAAAGAUUAUUGAUGGUAGGAAUUAAUAUAACAAAACAGUUUUGCAUGGCGAGCUAUGUACGACAAUGCCUUGAUCUUUUGUUGUCACACACAGAGUAUCUUACCAACAAUAUAGUUCACUAAAUAGUUCUCAUAUUGGCUCUUCUUUACAUAUUGAAUUAUUUAACAAUCUAAUAAUGUAGAGGGAACUGAAUUACAUAAAAAAUUGUGUGGCGGCAAACAAUUGGCUGUCAACAGAUUAAGCACAAGUUUUGGUCUAAUGUAUUUUGGCUACGAUCUUUUCUCUGUCUACCUAAUGGCUUCCGAAGACAUCUUAGACCUCAUAUAACAAAUACGCAUCAAGAGUAUCAUUUAUAGAUUGUUCAUUAUUCAUCUAAUGAUUAGGAAGUUACAAGACUAAGAAAGCAUGUUCAGUUCACUCUCUGUCUAGUAAUGUGCAGCGGUCCUAUAUUUCUAGGCAUAGAGUUGCACCUUUUUUUUUACAACUUGAUCGACUAGAAAAAUAAUUUGCUGCUAGACUUAAAAUAGCAAACCUGCAAACAAAAACAUAUCAUUUUCCCAACUCCUUGUUUCUGCCAUCAGCAUUCGAUUCGACAUUGCUGUCCAAAAUUUGCUCCCCAAGCUUGGAGAAUUUGCUUCAUAUAGUGUGUUUGGUUCCCAGUGCAGGCAGAUGAAGUAGUACCGGCUCCAGCAGGGAGAGCAUGGGCAGAGAGAAUCUUCAGCAUCAGUCAGCGAGCACAGGCAGCGAGAAGCUUUGGCGGCCCAUAGCAAGCACAGGAAGCAAGCAAGGGAGGAUGGUCAGGAGCAAACAACAGUGCGAGUUUUGUGGCGAGCAUGAAAUAAUUUCGGCGAGCACGGGCAACGAGAAGCUUUGGCGGCCCAGAGUUAGCAUGUGAAGCAGCGGUACAGGAUGACCACGAGCAAACGCCGGGUGCGAGCGUGGUGGCAAGCAUGGAAAUAAUUUCGGACUUCAUGGAAUUAAAGACGAGCAGCAAGCUCCUGGGUAAUCCUAAUUUGUGAACCAAUGUUUCUUUUUUUAGCAAUGAAAUAUCCGUGUAUUCGACCGGGCCUGCUAAGCCUGGCAGCACACGGUAAGGUGUUUGAGAUCAAAACCAUCCAAAUGGAAGAAAAGGCCGGGAUGUACAACGGCACAACUAUGCCUUUUCAAUUGCCUCUUCCAAAAGUAAAAUGGAUGUAGACUUAUAUUCUUUUUCAAUCGCCUAGAGACCAUAAAAACUAGUCCUCGAAAAUAAUUGCUGCGAUCUACCAUUUUUGUGAAUCUAUGAGGCCUAAAAUUACAAGUGAUGCAUAAUGUCACAGUUAUUUUGUCAUGUCAGAUUAUCGUAACGGUCGUUGGAACAAAAAAGACGCAAUUAUAUCCCUGAGCUUGAUUAGCUCUUUCACAAGGAAGAAAAUAGCCACUACCCAAUCGCGUAAACAAGAACGCCGAAUUGUGAUGAUGAGUUAUCACAAUUCAAAAAUUUGUGCGGAAACUAUGAAGGAAAGCAAAUAGAUGAGAUAGAAAGUUUGCCACUUCAUAUUGUUGGCGAUAACAACGAUGGUGGGAAGCUGGUAUACAAGCAUGUCCUCGACAUGCCAGACCAGACAUGUUUACUCCAAGCUCAUUUAUGCUCUAUCAUUUGUGCAAAAUCACUAUUUCUGCAAAAUUGCAGAGACAUUUAUUAUUACAUUCCACAGUUUGAAAGGUUAUUAGUGCAAAUAUAUACAUGAAUUACAUUCUUAAAGACUUCUUUGCCUUCAAGCAAUACAUCAGUGAUCAGGCUUUCCAAAUAGACCUGAUCAUGAAGGGAGAAGAAUAGACGGACAAGACAUCCAAUCAGAAAAGAAAAAAAUUUAAAUGGGCUCGGUUAUAAAAAUAUCCUCAAGAAAAUUCAUUGAGGAUCGCCAUAUAAAAUGCUAGGGAGUAACAAUUAUGUAUGUGUGUUGAUAUUAGCAAUCAUUCACUCAAAAAUUAAAUUUACGCAUUGAGGACAUAUUUUUGGAACGCCAGAUAAACCUGCAUUCCCACUAAUUUAUCAAUAGGAGUAGCCUCCAGCAAGACUUUGAAGUCAUGCAAAAGGAGAAAGCUCAAAGAUAAGCUUGGGUCACAGCAAAAGCUAACAUCUAAAAAGCAUCAGGUUAAUCAGCACACAGCACGAGCUAAUUAGCACGUACGUAGCAGCUUCUCAACCUCUCGGAUGCUCAAAACUUUAACCCCAACCAAAUACACGAGCUUCCAGAGCCUGCUCCCCCUCCAUUAUUCUGCAAUAGGGACCAAAAACAAAUCUGUAGUAAAGUAGGGAACACGAAAACUGAUUAGGAAGAUAAAAGAUUCCUUUUCAAAACAAGCAAUGUUUCUUAUUUCCAAAAUUGAACACCAUAUUAGGUUGCCGCCAUAAAAAAUAGGUGAUCAACUUUCUCCUUUGCAGUACAAAAACAACACCUUGUAUGCACAACUUGUGUAUAUAGAUACCACAUAACCAAUUCACACCAAUACAAAUUUCUGGGAUGUGGACAUUCCGUAAAAUAAAACUAAAUACAUAAAGUAAACAGUAAACACCCCCUUUAGCGUGUACUAAGCAUAGCGGAUGCCAAGAAUCAUUCAAGUUGACCAAACACACUUGACUAUGACUGAAUCCAAGACUUCAAAUUCUAAUUAUGUACUUCUAAUGAGAAGUCCACGAAAUCUGCUUCAACAAUACCAGGCACAGACAAUUACAUUAUAAUUAGAAAUUAUACUAAAUAAUGACAAGCACAAAGACUCGUCUCCCAUCCCAGGGGACAGCGGUCAACAAAAUAUAUAAUCUAAGCAAGCAUACGCCAUAAAAACCGGGAUGAACAAGGAAGGAUAAGGUCUGGCAGUACACUUGAAGUAAUUACCUGUCCAGAGGCCAUUGGAAAUUAUCAGUUGAAGAAUUUCGGAAGUAAGAUAAUGGGAGUAGCAGCCUCCAAGAUCUGCCCAAAUAAAUUGACCACAACCAGUAUGAACAUCACCUGCACAAAAUUUGGGAUUGAGAGGAUAUCAGGAUAAUGUAAUUGUUUGGUGUAAGAACGGGAAAGAGAUAUAGGAGAACCUAGCCGAGUGCCAUGCUGAUGGGUGUUGCCGGAGUGGAAAUAAUUAGUGAAGAGUGAUAGGGGCAUAAAUACACGUACCUGUACCGAGGCAGCGAAAGGAUGGGCACAUCACCUGCCAUGAAUGCAGAGAAACCAAAGAAUGAUUGCUUCUUCAAAUCCCAACGGAGCAGUUGUCCUCAGCGGAACAGCCAUAGUGUCGGCCUACAUCUCCCGCAUAGGCUCUCCUUGCCCUAAACCGUGGGACCGAUCAAUCCAUCGCCUCCUCUCUCUAGCAGGGACCGUCCACGUCAGCUCGCUCCCCCAUUUCUCAGCCUAGUUUACCAUAGGGCUUCAAAUUUUCCUCUGCAAAAGCAGCCCUCUAGGACUUUUCAGCCCAGGAAUCAGAAUGUACGGUGAAAGCCCGAGUAGACAACAGACUAAUGGUCAUGGUUGCGCCCAAGUCACAAAAAUGGAUGGCCAGAAACGCGCUGGGCGUUAGAUGGUUGGAAAGCUGCUCAGUAUUACUGUCCUAAAAUGUGGCUAAAUUACCGUAUAUCAGAAACAUAGCUCAUCAUGACAUAGUUCAUUGACCGUGAACCAAGGUCUAGAUUUUGUUUGUUAUUGUGUGAAUCACUGGAUCGAAAAUUACCUGAGUGUGUUGCGAUAACUCGGUGCCAAUUUCGUUGUUUGUUAACAGAAGAAAAUCCUGUCUUCUAACAUUUUCCUAGAGUAUUUAUAAAGCAACUGUUGAAAAAGCACAAUUCAACAACCACAAACCAGAGAAUUUCUUGAACAGACGAGAUAAGCAAAUCUAUACCAAUAUAAAAAAACAUGAGUUAGGAUGAGGUUCUUUUGAUCUAUGCUCUCCAAAAAUAUAUUUAAAAUUUAUAACUAUCAAUCCCAUGGUUGUGGGUAAAUAUUAUACCAUCUCCUAAUCAUAGUAUAUGUAUAGUUUGUUAAUUCAACUUAUUUAUUCAUAGUUACUUUCUGAUUUUAUUUUAUGUACGUGGAAAUUUAUUACUCAUUAUUACAAUUUUCUAUCGUGAUAUUUAUGUAAAAGAAGCCGGUGUCAUUACUAUCGAGAUGGACAUGCUAUUUCAAGCUUAUAAACAAAUUUUCAGUCUAACAUUGAAUUCUACACCGAUAUGCUGGCUUUAAAAAAGUAUCUGUUUGGCUAAAAAUAAUCUGGCGAGUAUACAACUGCAUCUCGACCAUCGAAGUGCAUACAUAAGUAGGAAGGCUAACUUCUGUCCCACUGCUUUUUUUGGCGACAAAAAUCUCAUAGUAGCGCCUUUUCAAACUAUAUGGUUUCAUCGACAUGGACAGGAUGAACCCACAUCAGAAAAUCCUGGUGCAUCUUCUUCAUCCUCGUUCACCUCUUUGGCUCUCCCUUCACCACGGUUUCCUUCUAUUCUUUGAGCUCAUCUCCCACCUACAUGCUAAGAGUCACCACCACAAGGUGGGCUUCUAGGAUCUCCUUCCUAGUAGUCGCCACCAGGAUGUAGCGUCAGGAUUCAAGUGCAUGGAUCCCUAACUCCGGCAAAGGAACAUUCGUAUAAAAGUUUGAAUCGUCAUUUUGUCAAGGGAUGUAAUAUAGUUUUGUACUGUUAUUUUUUUUUGCUAGACACAACCUCAGCCUAAGGUUCACAAAGGGAUAGAAAUACAAAUAUGUUCUCUCCGAAGGACAAUAUAUGGAUCUCACAAUUUCAAUAGAUGUUCCAACAUCU
rnacentral:lncRNA from 1 species